rnacentral:rRNA from 1 species
UACGGAGGGUGCAAGCAUUAAUCGGAUUUAUUGGGCGUAAAGGGCGCGUAGGCGGACUAGUAAGUCAGACGUGAAAUCCCGGGGCUCAACCCCGGAACUGCAUUUGAAACUACUAGUCUCGAGGGUAGGCGGAGAAAACGGAAUUCCACAAGUAGCGGUGAAAUGCGUAGAUAUGUGGAAGAACACCGGUGGCGAAGGCGGUUUUCUAGCUUAUUCCUGACGCUGAGGCGCGAAAGCAAGGGGAUCAAACAG